GAUGAACGCUAGCUACAGGCUUAACACAUGCAAGUCGAGGGGCAGCAUGGUCUUAGCUUGCUAAGGCCGAUGGCGACCGGCGCACGGGUGAGUAACGCGUAUCCAACCUGCCUUACACUCUUGGACAGCCUUCUGAAAGGGAGAUUAAUACAAGAUGUUAUCAUGAGUAAGCAUUUUCACAUGAUUAAAGGUUUACCGGUGUAAGAUGGGGAUGCGUUCCAUUAGAUAGUAGGCGGGGUAACGGCCCACCUAGUCUUCGAUGGAUAGGGGUUCUGAGAGGAAGGUCCCCCACAUUGGAACUGAGACACGGUCCAAACUCCUACGGGAGGCAGCAGUGAGGAAUAUUGGUCAAUGGACGAGAGUCUGAACCAGCCAAGUAGCGUGAAGGAUGAAGGUUCUAUGGAUUGUAAACUUCUUUUAUACGGGAAUAAACGAAUCCACGUGUGGAUUUUUGCAUGUACCGUAUGAAUAAGGAUCGGCUAACUCCGUGCCAGCAGCCGCGGUAAUACGGAGGAUCCGAGCGUUAUCCGGAUUUAUUGGGUUUAAAGGGAGCGUAGAUGGGUUGUUAAGUCAGUUGUGAAAGUUUGCGGCUCAACCGUAAAAUUGCAAUUGAUACUGGCAGUCUUGAGUACAGUUGAGGUAGGCGGAAUUCGUGGUGUAGCGGUGAAAUGCUUAGAUAUCACGAAGAACUCCGAUUGCGAAGGCAGCUUACUAACCUGUAACUGACAUUGAUGCUCGAAAGUGUGGGUAUCAAACAGGAUUAGAUACCCUGGUAGUCCACACGGUAAACGAUGAAUACUCGCUGUAGGCGAUAUACAGUCUGCGGCCAAGCGAAAGCAUUAAGUAUUCCACCUGGGGAGUACGCCGGCAACGGUGAAACUCAAAGGAAUUGACGGGGGCCCGCACAAGCGGAGGAACAUGUGGUUUAAUUCGAUGAUACGCGAGGAACCUUACCCGGGCUUAAAUUGCAACCGAAUAUGGCGGAAACGCUAUAGCUAGCAAUAGCGGUUGUGAAGGUGCUGCAUGGUUGUCGUCAGCUCGUGCCGUGAGGUGUCGGCUUAAGUGCCAUAACGAGCGCAACCCUUGCCGAUAGUUACUAACAGGUCAUGCUGAGGACUCUGUCGGGACUGCCAUCGUAAGAUGUGAGGAAGGUGGGGAUGACGUCAAAUCAGCACGGCCCUUACGUCCGGGGCUACACACGUGUUACAAUGGGGGGUACAGAGGGCUGCUACCACGCAAGUGGAUGCCAAUCCCAAAAACCUCUCUCAGUUCGGAUUGAAGUCUGCAACCCGACUUCAUGAAGCUGGAUUCGCUAGUAAUCGCGCAUCAGCCACGGCGCGGUGAAUACGUUCCCGGGCCUUGUACACACCGCCCGUCAAGCCAUGGGAGCCGGGGGUACCUGAAGUGCGUAACCGCAAGGAGCGCCCUAGGGUA
rnacentral:rRNA from 1 species